CAAUUUAGUGCAUCCCUUCACUUCUGGACUUGGCUGCCAUGUUAUCCUCCCAAAGUGACUCUGACGACUGCAAUUCAACAAGCUAUGUUGUUGUUUUACUGAGCUGACCUCUCCAUUUAGCAUGAAAGAACUUUGAAGGGUUUAUAGAAUGAGGCUUGGGAAGAGUUGAACACACUAGCUGGCUCCUCUUUGAUAAGCUUUAAGGAGACAUAAAGACUAAGGAAAGUGUAGCAGUUUUAUCCUUUUUCCUCUCAUAACCCUGUACUCAAAAAAAAUCACACUUGAUAUAAGCAAAAGAGUACAACGUGUGCUAUUGGACUUUAUCAAUGCUUCUUACAUAAGAAUCUCAUUCUUAGCUUCAUCUUGCUCUUCACUUUUCUCUUUGAUCACUUUUCUUACUUAAAUUUAUCUUGUUUUAUGGUUACCCCACUGAUUCUACUGUGAAUACUUUUUUUUGGAACAAUGUGACUUACAAAUAAUUGCAUGAAUAACUACAUUCCAGUACUCCUCUCAGAAUGUCUUCCCUUCCCCUCCUGACUAUACUCUGUGUUGUCGUACUUCUGAUAUUUGAUGAUAUGUGUCUGCUAUUUUAUAGAAACAGUAAAUAAGUCUAAGGGGAAAACCAUUCUGCAUCAAGCUAAUUUGUCUACUGUAUCGUUGACCUCAUUCAUACCAUGAAACAAGUCAACUCAACUGAGUCA
rnacentral:lncRNA from 1 species